CCUUACCGGCUGUCUCGUUUAGGCUGAUUUCCUACCCUAUUUAAGCAACGUUUUUAACCUAAAUUCCUUCCCUACUUCUUCAUCAAACUUUGGCCGUCACUCCCUCUCCAAAUUCUCUGAAUUUCAUCGGCUAUAAUCAUCUCAGGAUCUUACCAAAUCUUGGUUCCGCUUCCUUCCAGAGAUAGAAGACUCACGUAUCUACAAAUCCCAACUUUUGUUUCGAAGAACGCCGUUCGGAGGUCGAAAUCAAUUCCGUUUGUUUCCCGUGAAAGUAGACUCACGCAUCUACGUUUCUACACCAUUCGUUCGUCAAACGACCCGUCGACUGUUCGUGCUUCGGAGUCUACGCAGGGUUAGCUGUUUGCCAAGAUCACGUGGAUAAGCAAGCAGU